UACGUAGGGUGCGAGCGUUAAUCGGAAUUACUGGGCGUAAAGCGUGCGCAGGCGGCUUUGCAAGACAGAUGUGAAUCCCCGGGCUCAACCUGGGACUGCAUUGUGACUGCAAGGCUAGAGUACGGCAGAGGGGAUGGAAUUCCGCGUGUAGCAGUGAAUGCGUAGAUAUCGUGAGGAACACCAGAGGCGAAGGCGGUUACCUGGACAGUUACUGACGCUCAGGCACGAAAGCGUGGGGAGCAAAGG
rnacentral:rRNA from 1 species